rnacentral:rRNA from 1 species
AUGAACGCUGGCGGCGUGCCUAAUACAUGCAAGUCGAGCGAACGGACGAGAAGCUUGCUUCUCUGAUGUUAGCGGCGGACGGGUGAGUAACACGUGGAUAACCUACCUAUAAGACUGGGAUAACUUCGGGAAACCGGAGCUAAUACCGGAUAAUAUUUUGAACCGCAUGGUUCAAAAGUGAAAGACGGUCUUGCUGUCACUUAUAGAUGGAUCCGCGCUGCAUUAGCUAGUUGGUAAGGUAACGGCUUACCAAGGCAACGAUGCAUAGCCGACCUGAGAGGGUGAUCGGCCACACUGGAACUGAGACACGGUCCAUACUCCUACGGGAGGCAGCAGUAGGCAAUCUUCCGCAAUGGGCGGAAGCCUGACGGAGCAACGCCGCGUGAGUGAUGAAGGUCUUCGGAUCGUAAAACUCUGUUAUUAGGGAAGAACAUAUGUGUAAGUAACUGUGCACAUCUUGACGGUACCUAAUCAGAAAGCCACGGCUAACUACGUG